GAUGAACGCUGGCGGCGUGCCUAAUACAUGCAAGUCGAGCGAACAGACGAGGGGCUUGCUCCUCUGACGUUAGCGGCGGACGGGUGAGUAACACGUGUAUAACCUACCUCUAGGACUGGGAUAAAUUCGGGAAACCGGAGCUUAUACCGGAUAAUAUAUUGAACCGCAUGGUUCCAUAGUGAAAGACGGUUUUGCUGUCACUUAUAGGUGGAUCCGCGCCACAUUAGGUAGUUGGUAUGGUAACUGCUUACCAAGGCAACGAUGCGUAGCCGACCUGAAAGGGUGAUCGGGCACACUGGAACUGAGACACGGCCCAGACCUCUACGGGAGGCAGCGGUAGGGAAUCCUACGCGAUGGAGGAGAGGCUGACCGAGCACAGCCGCGUGAGUGAUGAAGGUCUUCGGAUCGGAGAACUAUGUUAUUAGGGAAGAACAAAUAUGCAUGUAACUAUGACCGUCUUGACGGUACCUAAUGAAAAAGCCACGGCUAACUACGUG
rnacentral:rRNA from 1 species